rnacentral:rRNA from 1 species
UACAGAGGGUGCAAGCGUUGUUCGGAAUUAUUGGUCGUAAAGCGUCUGUAGGUGGCUUUUUAAGUCCGCCGUCAAAUCCCAGGGCUCAACUCUGGACAGGCGGUGGAAACUACCAAGCUGGAGUAUGGUAGGGGCAGAGGGAAAUUUCGGUGGAGCGGUGAAAUGCGUAGAGAUCGGAAAGAACACCAACGGCGAAAGCACUCUGCUGGGCCGACACUGACACUGAGAGACGAAAGCUAGGGGAGCGAAUGGG